CAGGAUGAACGCUAGCUACAGGCUUAACACAUGCAAGUCGAGGGGCAGCAUUGGGAUAGCUUGCUAUCCAGAUGGCGACCGGCGCACGGGUGAGUAACGCGUAUCCAACCUUCCCUAUAGUAGAGAAUAGCCCCGGCGAAAAGUCGGAUUAAUGCUCUAUGUUGUGUUUUUGAGGACAUCUGACGAACACCAAAGGUUCACCGCUAUAGGAUGGGGAUGCGUCUGAUUAGGUUGUUGGCGGGGUAACGGCCCACCAAGCCUGCGAUCAGUAGGGGUUCUGAGAGGAAGGUCCCCCACAUUGGUACUGAGACACGGACCAAACUCCUACGGGAGGCAGCAGUGAGGAAUAUUGGUCAAUGGGCGAGAGCCUGAACCAGCCAAGUAGCGUGCAAGGACGACUGCCCUAUGGGUUGUAAACUGUCUUUUAUCAGGGAAUAAAGUGCGGCACGUGUGCCGUUUUGUAUGUACCUGAUGAAUAAGGACCGGCUAAUUCCGUGCCAGCCGCGGC
rnacentral:rRNA from 1 species